UCGUUAUUGUUGAUAAUUUGCCAUGUAUUUUUUCUCUUUUGUAUCUCAAUACCCUCUAGUGUAGUUAACUCACCCGCCAUGGUUCCUCAGGCUGUUCCGGAUAUGUGCGAUAUGGCACCACAAAUAGGCCACUUACUACUAGACUUUGGCGGCCUGCAGAGGGAGAGGAUGGGAUGGGAGCUCAUUGUGGCCGGGGUGGUGGAUCGGGGGUCAUGGGACUUGAAUGGGAAAUUUAAAGCUGCAGUGGGCUGCACCAAAGAAUGGAUGAGAGCUCAAUCUGUCACAUGCGCUGGGGACGACGAAUCUAAAAGGCUGGUGCUUGUGCAGAGGGACCA
rnacentral:lncRNA from 1 species